UAUUUUCUAAAAUAAAGUAAUAAUAAUGACUUUUUGAUAAAUAACAUUGAGAGUCUUAACUUAAAAAAAAAAAAACCAAAUUUAUCCAUAUGGGCCAAAGUAUGUGGGAAUAGUGCUCAUUUUAAUUUGGGUAGACCAAAAAAGUGAAAAACACAAUGAAAAAUGCCUGAAAUUUUAAGAGGUUAAAGCACCUGGUGUAACCCUGGGGUAAGAGGACAGCAUUUGAAGUAUGGGAAUGUGAGUCGUCAGAAGACUGGUCUAUAUUUUGUAAAUAUAGUAUAUUUUGUAAAGACUUUUGACUGCUAGUGUAUAUUAAAAUUUAUCUGCAUUUACUAGGGAGCAGUCAUUGGACCUGAUGGCAUCGCUGGGUGGGACAAGGUCCAGGAUCUGGCUGGUUACCUGGUGGGUCUUCGUGAGGCUCCUUACCUCACUGACCUGCAGGUGACAGAGGUCAUCCAGCUGUGGACAGCUCUCCCUGACGUUGAUAAACAGCGGGUCAACUAUCAGCCUCAACAUCAGCCUCAGCUGACACAUGGGCGCUUUAAGGUUUCAACGGCAGCAGAAGAAUCAGGAAAUGAGUGUCCUCGCCCAGGGACUGACUCCACCUGACCCAAUUGAUGUGGCUGAUACGCAGCUUCCUCCGCCGAGGAAAAAAUUGGAUGACGUGCCAUCAACAUCAGGCCCAAAACAUCAAUUUAUCCUUCCGCCAAAUCGAAAAGGACAGGCUCCUCUUCUGCGACCAGGUCGACGGCUCGCUGCUGCCACCAGGGAGUGCCCCAUCACACCUGCCCCCACAGCAGCAGGAGUUGUGCAGCCCAUUUCAGCACCUGGGUCACUGUUAGGCACACUAGUCCUUAACCCAGACAUGACUGUGUCAAUGGUGAUUCCAUCUUCUGGUGCUUCGACAUCCGGUGCAGGCCCAGCUCCACCUGCUCCUUAGUCUGCUGCUCCUGUGUCUGCUGCUCCUGUGUCUGCUGCUCCUGUGUCUGCUGCUACUGUGUCCCGUUACACCGAGAGGAACAGGCGCCGGCGGGCCC
ensembl:lncRNA